AGAGUUUGAUCCUGGCUCAGGAUGAACGCUAGCGGGAGCCUAACACAUGCAAGCCGAGCGGUAUUGUUCUUCGGAACAGAGAGAGCGGCGUACGGGUGCGGAACACGUGUGCAACCUGCCUUUAUCAGGGGGAUAGCCUUUCGAAAGGAAGAUUAAUACCCCAUAAUAUAAGAGACGGCAUCGUUUUUUAUUGAAAACUCCGGUGGAUAGAGAUGGGCACGCGCAAGAUUAGAUAGUUGGUAGGGUAACGGCCUACCAAGUCAGUGAUCUUUAGGGGGCCUGAGAGGGUGAUCCCCCACACUGGUACUGAGACACGGACCAGACUCCUACGGGAGGCAGCAGUGAGGAAUAUUGGACAAUGGGUGAGAGCCUGAUCCAGCCAUCCCGCGUGAAGGACGACGGCCCUAUGGGUUGUAAACUUCUUUUGUAUAGGGAUAAACCUUUCCACGUGUGGAAAGCUGAAGGUACUAUACGAAUAAGCACCGGCCAACUCCGUG
rnacentral:rRNA from 1 species